rnacentral:rRNA from 1 species
CACGUAGGGGGCGAGCGUUGUCCGGAUUUAUUGGGCGUAAAGAGCUCGUAGGCGGCUAAGUAAGUCAGGUGUGAAAACUCCAGGCUCAACCUGGAGACGCCACCUGAUACUGCUUUGGCUAGAGUCCGGUAGGGGAGCAUGGAAUUCCUGGUGUAGCGGUGAAAUGCGCAGAUAUCAGGAGGAACACCAAUGGCGAAGGCAGAUCUCUGGGCCGUAACUGACGCUGAGGAGCGAAAGCAUGGGGAGCGAACAGG